CUCUUCUGAGGGUCGCAACUGAAGAGUUUCCAGUAUUCUACCAGGCUCCACUAAGGGAGGGAGAGUCAAGCAGAGGCAUACCCAUUCCAUUCCUAGCUUGGGCAGUGGCUAGCAAGUGGAAGGCAAUCUGCUACAAAU